AACAGCUCAAAUUUGAAAUCUGGCUCUUUUAGAGUCCGAGUUGUAAUUUGCAGAGGGCGCUUUGGCUUUGGCAGCGGUCCAAGUUCCUUGGAACAGGACGUCACAGAGGGUGAGAAUCCCGUACGUGGUCGCUGGCUAUUGCCGUGUAAAGCCCCUUCGACGAGUCGAGUUGUUUGGGAAUGCAGCUCUAAAUGGGAGGUACAUUUCUUCUAAAGCUAAAUAUUGGCCAGAGACCGAUAGCGCACAAGUAGAGUGAUCGAAAGAUGAAAAGCACUUUGGAAAGAGAGUCAAACAGCACGUGAAAUUGUUGAAAGGGAAGCGCUUGCAGCCAGACUUGCUUACAGUUGCUCAUCCGGGUUUCUACCCGGUGCACUCUUCUGUAGGCAGGCCAGCAUCAGUUUGGGCGGUAGGAUAAAGGUCUCUGUC
rnacentral:rRNA from 1 species